rnacentral:lncRNA from 1 species
CUCAAACAGGAUAUAUGUUCAUUCUCUCAAAAACCAGCCCCUCUGAGCUUUGAGGUUUAUGACCGUCUCUGUGGGGAAGCAAGUGUCUCAUCAACUCAUGGGGGCAAUUUAAGGGGCUCCUCCUUGGGGUACCCACUUUGUCGAACUUCACUGUGAGUCCAGAAGCCUAGCGUGGUUCAGCCAGAUGGCAGGAACUCUCUGGAACCACUGCUUCAGCUGCAGGGUGGCCCCGAUUUCUGAAUCCAGAAUGCAUCUGCGAGGUUUGUCUCUUCUCAGUGGGACACUCAGGCUAGGACAUAACACUGCAGAUGUUCGCAUUUCUGGCAGCUGUAACAUGGCGAAUAAUUCAAUGGAAUGGAACAUUCUCCAACACUAGGCACUUCAAAAAGAAAAGAAGUCUGUUUACGCAGCAAGGGUAGGCCCGACAGCACGUGCUCAUGGCUCCUCCCGGGCCGUGGCUCAGCUGGGCUCGGAGCAUCUCUCCCAUACAAGCCAGAGCCGCAGGGCAGGACAGGGUCUCAAAGAGACAUCCUGACAGUGUGACAGUGACGCUACCAGAGCCUCCCCAAGGUGUUACUCGAGGCAGAGGACACCCUGCCCUCCAUCCUGCAUCCACUCCAACCCCACCAAUGCUGAGCUCUGGGGCAGGAAGCACAAUAAAUAUCCCCACUACGCGGAGGAAGGUGGAUGAAGAAGCCUGCCCAGGACUCACAUUCAGGACUGGGCUCAAGGCCUGUGGACUCCAGAGCCUGCACUCGUCAGCAAUAUGCUUCUAGUGCCUCGAGUAAAAUAAAAGACCUGCAGUCAAUCA